UACGAAGGGGGCUAGCGUUGUUCGGAAUGACUGGGCGUAAAGGGCGCGUAGGCGGUUUGUACAGUCAGGUGUGAAAUUCCCGGGCUCAACCUGGGGGCUGCACUUGAUACGUAUGGACUGGAGUGGGGAAGAGGGUCGUGGAAUUCCCAGUGUAGAGGUGAAAUUCGUAGAUAUUGGGAAGAACACCGGUGGCGAAGGCGGCGACCUGGUCCUUGACUGACGCUGAGGCGCGAAAGCGUGGGGAGCAAACAGG
rnacentral:rRNA from 1 species